AUUGAACGCUGGCGGCAGGCCUAACACAUGCAAGUCGAGCGGAUGAAGGGAGCUUGCUCCUGGAUUCAGCGGCGGACGGGUGAGUAAUGCCUAGGAAUCUGCCUGGUAGUGGGGGAUAACGUCCGGAAACGGGCGCUAAUACCGCAUACGUCCUGAGGGAGAAGGUGGGGGAUCUUCGGACCUCACGCUAUCAGAUGAGCCUAGGUCGGAUUAGCUAGUUGGUGGGGUAAAGGCCUACCAAGGCGACGAUCCGUAACUGGUCUGAGAGGAUGAUCAGUCACAAUGGAACUGAGACACGGUCCAGAAUCCUACGGGAGGCAGCAGUGGGGAAUAUUGGAACAUGGGCGAAAGCCUGAACCAGCCAUGCCGCGUGUGUGAAGAAGGUCUUCGGAUUGGAAAGCACUUUAAGUUGGGAGGAAGGGCAGUAAGUUAAUACCUUGCUGUUUUGACGUUACCAACAGAAUAAGCACCGGCUAACUUCGUG
rnacentral:rRNA from 1 species